AUGCUUGCUUAGGCAGCACAUUUAUAUAAUAUUGUAGUGACACAGAGAAGAUUAGCCUAGCCCCUGUGCAAGAAUGACCCCAAAUGUAAAGCGAGCGUGUGU
ensembl:snRNA Gm24546 predicted gene, 24546